GACGAACGUUGGCGGCGUGCUUAAUACAUGCAAGUCAACUGAAGCAGUGGUAGCAAUAUCGCUGUGGAGGUGGCGCACGGGUGAGUAACACGUAGGUAAUCUGCCUUCAGGUCUGGCAUAACUCCGGGAAACCGGGGCUAAUAGCAGAUGAUGCAGCGGCUCGACAUCGAGACAGUUGUUAAAGCUAUGGCGCCUGAAGAUGAGCCUGCGUCUGAUUAGCUAGUUGGCGGGGUAACGGCCCACCAAGGCAACGAUCAGUAGCUGGUCUGAGAGGAUGAUCAGCCACACUGGAACUGAGACACGGUCCAGACUACGACGGGAGGCAGCAGUAAGGAAUAUUGCUCAAUGGGAGAAAUCCUGAAGCAGCAACGCCGCGUGAGGGACGAAGGGCUUUUGCUUGUAAACCUCUGUAGUGAGAGAAAAAAAUCCCAAUCUUUGGGACAUGAUGGUAUCUCAAAAGUAAGCCCCGGCUAACUACGUG
rnacentral:rRNA from 1 species